rnacentral:tRNA from 1 species
CAGAAAAUAGUUUAACAAAAAUUUAGGUUUUGGAAAUCUAAGAUGCCUUACCCAGGUUUUUCUGA